rnacentral:pre_miRNA from 1 species
AGUGGAAUUACUGAGUCAUGUGAUAACUCCAUGUUUAACUUUCUGAGGAAAUGCCAAACUGUUCUCCAAAGUAGCUCUACCAUUUUACAUUCUCAAGGAUAGU